rnacentral:lncRNA from 1 species
CUGAAGGCAGUCAGCAAGUGUCUGUGACGAGUUUUAAGUGACUUACACGAGGCUGGGCGUUGAACAGUGUGUGUAAUGCCUCUGCUUCAGUCUGGCGAGUGCCCAUCCCGCUUUCAUGAACCAAUUGAAAUGUCCAAUGUAUUGGUUGCUGUAGAUUGUGGUGCUGUGA